rnacentral:rRNA from 1 species
AUGAACGCUAGCUACAGGCUUAACACAUGCAAGUCGAGGGGCAGCAUUUUAGUUUGCUUGCAAACUGAAGAUGGCGACCGGCGCACGGGUGAGUAACACGUAUCCAACCUGCCGAUAACUCCGGGAUAGCCUUUCGAAAGAAAGAUUAAUACCGGAUAGCAUACGAAUAUCGCAUGAUAUUUUUAUUAAAGAAUUUCGGUUAUCGAUGGGGAUGCGUUCCAUUAGUUUGUUGGCGGGGUAACGGCCCACCAAGACUACGAUGGAUAGGGGUUCUGAGAGGAAGGUCCCCCACAUUGGAACUGAGACACGGUCCAAACUCCUACGGGAGGCAGCAGUGAGGAAUAUUGGUCAAUGGGCGCGAGCCUGAACCAGCCAAGUAGCGUGAAGGAUGAAGGCUCUAUGGGUCGUAAACUUCUUUUAUAUGGGAAUAAAGUUUUCCACGUGUGGAAUUUUGUAUGUACCAUAUGAAUAAGGAUCGGCUAACUCCGUGCCAGCAGCCGCGGUAAUACGGAGGAUCCGAGCGUUAUCCGGAUUUAUUGGGUUUAAAGGGAGCGUAGGUGGAUUGUUAAGUCAGUUGUGAAAGUUUGCGGCUCAACCGUAAAAUUGCAGUUGAAACUGGCAGUCUUGAGUACAGUAGAGGUGGGCGGAAUUCGUGGUGUAGCGGUGAAAUGCUUAGAUAUCACGAAGAACUCCGAUUGCGAAGGCAGCUCACUAGACUGUCACUGACACUGAUGCUCGAAAGUGUGGGUAUCAAACAGGAUUAGAUACCCUGGUAGUCCACACAGUAAACGAUGAAUACUCGCUGUUUGCGAUAUACAGUAAGCGGCCAAGCGAAAGCAUUAAGUAUUCCACCUGGGGAGUACGCCGGCAACGGUGAAACUCAAAGGAAUUGACGGGGGCCCGCACAAGCGGAGGAACAUGUGGUUUAAUUCGAUGAUACGCGAGGAACCUUACCCGGGCUUAAAUUGCAACAGAAUAUAUUGGAAACAGUAUAGCCGUAAGGCUGUUGUGAAGGUGCUGCAUGGUUGUCGUCAGCUCGUGUCGUGAGAUGUUGGGUUAAGUCCCGCAACGAGCGCAACCCUUAUGGUCAGUUACUACGCAAGAGGACUCUGGCCAGACUGCCGUUGACAAAACGGAGGAAGGUGGGGAUGACGUCAAAUCAUCAUGCCCUUUAUGACUUGGGCUACACACGUACUACAAUGGCGUUAAACAAAGAGAAGCAAGACCGCGAGGUGGAGCAAAACUCAGAAACAACGUCCCAGUUCGGACUGCAGGCUGCAACUCGCCUGCACGAAGUCGGAAUUGCUAGUAAUCGCAGAUCAGCAUGCUGCGGUGAAUACGUUCCCGGGCCUUGUACACACCGCCCGUCACACCAUGAGAGCCGGGGGGACCCGAAGUCGGUAGUCUAACCGCAAGGAGGACGCCGCCGAAGGUAAAACUGGUGAUUGGGGUG